rnacentral:rRNA from 1 species
UACGAAGGGUGCAAACGUUUGCUCGGAAUUAUUGGGCGUAAAGCGCACGUAGGCGGCUUAGCAAGUCGGAAGUGAAAUCCCACGGCUCAACCAUGGAAGUGCUUUCGAAACUGCUGAGCUUGAGUACAAAAGAGGAUCGCGGAAUUCCCGGUGUAGAGGUGAAAUUCGUAGAUAUCGGGAGGAAUACCAGUGGCGAAGGCGGCAUCCUGGACCGGCAUUGACGCUGAGGAGCGAAAGCCAGGGGAGCAAACGGG